rfam:Candidatus Phytoplasma mali strain AT complete chromosome.
GGGCCUAUAGCUCAGUUGGUUAGAGCACACGCCUGAUAAGCGUGAGGUCGAUGGUUCGAGUCCAUUUAGGCCCA